CCUGGUCAGAACUCAAACUGUAAACAAGCAGACAACAACAACAACAACAACAACAACAGAGCAGAAUCAUGUCCCACCAUCAUCCAGGUCCAAGAGAAGAAAUAAGAAGCCUGAAGAAGAAAAGCAGAGUGAAAACAAAGAAGUGGACCGAGCCAGAGAGGAAACCAGGAUAAAUAUCAGAGCAUCAUUUCAGAGGUGGAGGAGCUGCGGGUCUGUCAGGACUUUUCUGCUGGACAGGAGUGGAAUCUGAGUAAAGAGCAGAAGAGUCGCAGCAGCCAGAUUCAGUGUGACGGCCAGAGGAGACGACCAGGACACAAGAAUCUGCAUUUAAGUCUUGGACCUGCAGGCCUACGAGCAAGCACGAUGAAGCCUGAGUAGAAGCAUCAGUGAGUCCAAACGCAGCUGGAAGCAGCACAUAGAGGAGCUCUUCAACAGCAGCGUGUGAAGCAUGUGGCAGGAGAUAAAGACUCUGACCGGCUACAAGGACAGCUACACAGCCACCAGCUCGACCGACAGAUUGCUGCUGACACACAUCUGGUUCUACCAGGGAAGGUCAGCGCCAUUCAGCUGGACCAACCUCAGGUCAGAUCCAUCCUGCACAGAGUCGAUGUGAGGAAAGCAGCUGGUCCAGACAGAGUCACCGCCAGGAUCCUCAAAGCCUGUGCAGACCAGCCACACUGACACUUGCACACAGAAUUAAAACUUUUGCACAUUCCUGUACAGCUCUUCCAUCUUUAUUAAUCAGUCAUCCCACACUCUGUGUUAUAUUGUAUAUAUUAUAGUUACUGUUUGUGUAUUGAUUGUUGGCUUUAAUGCACCUUAUCCACUAAGACAAGUUCCUCAUUGGUGUAAAACCCUUCUUGGUAAUAAAUCUGAUUCUGUUUCUGUUUCUGUUUCUGAUUGUGAUGAAGUCAUCAGGUUUAGACCAGCUCAGUCUGGAAAGUGUCAUGAGAUGAUUUUUGUUGUGAAUUAUGAAAUUAACAAAUAAAGAUUGAAAGAUGACGUGAUGUAAUGAAGUUCAUCCUGCUGUGAUGACUCACAACAUUGUUAAAACUUUGUCCCACACUUCAAUAAAAGUUUAGUUGCUGAUGGUU